GAUGAACGCUAGCGGCAGGCCUAACACAUGCAAGUCGAGGGGUAGAAGGAGCUUGCUCCUUUGAGACCGGCGCACGGGUGCGUAACGCGUAUGCAAUCUACCUUUUACAGAGGGAUAGCCCAGAGAAAUUUGGAUUAAUACCUCAUAGUAUAUAUCAUUCGCAUGUUUGGUAUAUUAAAGUUCCAACGGUAAAAGAUGAGCAAGCGUCCCAUUAGUUAGUUGGUAAGGUAACGGCUUACCAAGACGAUGAUGGGUAGGGGUCCUGAGAGGGAGAUCCCCCACACUGGUACUGAGACACGGACCAGACUCCUGCGGGAGGCAGCAGUGAGGAAUAUUGGUCAAUGGACGCAAGUCUGAACCAGCCAUGCCGCGUGCAGGAAGACGGUCCUAUGGAUUGUAAACUGCUUUUGUACGGGAAGAAACACUCCUACGUGUAGGAGCCUGACGGUACCGUAAGAAUAAGGAUCGGCUAACUCCGUGCCAGCCGCCGCGGUAACAC
rnacentral:rRNA from 1 species